ensembl:lncRNA
CCUAUUUUACAUGUAUUCAGUUUCUUGUGUGUGCUGUUGUGUUAUAUCUCUGGAUUCCCCAGGAAAGCAAGUCUCAUGUAAGUCGAAGGAAGAUUAGACUUUGUCUGGAAUGUUCUCAGCAGUUGCUCCUCAUUUUGGAAAUCUCAUCACCGAUGUCAGUGCCAUCAUGAAAUUUGAGUUGCAAUGCCAAUUUUAUUCAUAGCAUUUAUUGCAAACUGAAAUUAUCUUUUUUUCUUGUGCUUUUUGUUUGCUCACUGAACUGUAGGCUCCUUAAUAAGAGGAAGCUUAUGUAUCUUGUUCACUGGGUACCCUUUUACCUAAAACAGUCUGCCAUACUGUGGCCAGUUAAUGGUAAUUGAUGCAUCACUGGUGGUGGGUGUUUGAACGACAGUCUCAUCCUCCUAAGUCUGACCUUUAAAUGCUGAUGUUCCUUAAGUUUUCUUCCGACCUGGUUUUAGCUCUGGCCGUGGUUUCGAUUUAUCUCUGCGUUGGCAGCUCCUCAGAUUUUUCUCCAGCCCAGAUCUUUCCUCUGAAUCCAGAAUUAUAUAUUGAGCUGCCAGCUCCCGUCCCAGUUUAAUGCUCAGGCACCUCCAGUUUAGUGUGUCCCUCUCCCGGGUUUAUCUUGUUUAUGAUCUCGUAAAAGCACAAAUGUGAUUGUUAUUCUCUUGCUGAAAAUUCUUCAGUUAACUUCUCCUUGCUCUGGGAAUAAGACCAAAAACUUUAACCCACAUCUAUCCCACCAGGCUUUUUUUAGCCAUUUCUUCAUUGUUCCCAUGCUUUGGGCUCUCUAGUCAUCUUGUUGUUCUCAAAGGCUCCAUUUCUUCCCACCAUAGAGCUUCGUCCGUGCUGUUCUGCCAGUCCAGCUAGUUAUCCUUCAGAGCUUAGCUCAGCUUCCCAGGAAACCACCCAUGCUUUCCUGACUCGGCCAGCACCCUCCCCUCCUCCCCACGUGCUCUCACAGCACCCUGUACUUCUUAGCAAGUUGUGUGUUCCAAAAUAUUCAUGUGUUCCAAAAGUAGCCGUCUGACCUUCCCAUUGAAUUGAGUUGGUUCUUUUUUUUUUUUUUUAUGAAGUGUAGUUAUGGCUUCCCUAUAUUUAUUUGUAUAUUUAUAUUAUCAUCAUAAAGCAUGAUCUUAUAGCAACUAUACUAAUUUAUUUUCUAAAAUUUAAUUGGUUUUUGUCCAGUAAUUUCAUAGGAUAGAUUGGUUUGAUUUGUUGUUUCAGGAGCACACUGUAUUUCAUUUAUUCUGAGAAACACAUUUUUCCCACUUUUAACAUCUCUGAAAUUGGCAGCAUUUUUCUUGCUUAGUGCAUAAGAAAUAAUGGUGCAUCUUAUAUUUGAAAACAGAUUGGAUAAAAUUUGGCAUUUUUGGAACAGAUUCGUUCUGAAAGAUUUACUGGGAACCUUGUUAAUUUUCCCCCAGGAAGGCACUAUCUCCUUCCUUUUGAAAGAAGUUUCAGAUGCACACACCUAGAUUUCCCUGGCCGUAGUUGUGUCUAGAAACGGGGAUGUGAAUAAAUUCUGGUUAACUGGGUAUAAACAGAAAUAAUGAUGAACUUCCAAGGCACGAACCAAAAAGAAAUGAUUUGCUCUGCAGUGCCUCUUUCCCUCUUCUAGUGAUGAAAAGAACUGGGUCCCUAGAUAAUUUCACAGAGCAAAGGUGUCUGGCCAGCCUUUGCGCUUGGGGGAGAAUCGUCUUUAGGACAUCGUAUUUAGGGGUCAACUGUUGAAAAAGUCUUCCGAGCCCAGAGUUUAGUAAAUGACAGCUAUUGCCGUCAUUAGUGUUUUCAGAGACUACAACUUCAAACUGUCUGCUGCUGCCUUAGUGUUUAUUUUCCAGUUGAACUUGGUUAUCUAUGGAGAAUUGUUUGAUUUUCUAGGUUUUAUCUUUGGAUUCAGCAAAACCAUCAGAAACCUUCAUACUUGGACCAAAGCAUUGGCUACCGAGAGAAUUGCUGAGUUUCGGGCAGUUCCCCCAGUUUUUCCAUCAUGCUCUUGGCUGUGUGCAUGCUCUGGGGCAUAAGAGAGGACAUCCAGCCCCUGACUCUGUCACCUAGGGGAGAUGUCUUCCAGAAAGCUUGCUUUUGGACCUGAGUGUUAGGGAAAGUUCUUCCUUUGCAGAACUGGUGCGUGCUCUCAUGGUUAAUGAGAAGCCAUAAAGGACAGAGUGAGGAAUUGAAUCAUUAUUUGUAACAUAAGUUAGUAAGUUGCUCAUUGCUUCACUUUAGGACAGAUGGUAGGUUAGCUCUGAGCACCUAUACUGACCCAUUACCUGAUGUGGUUCCGUUAAAGUCCUUUAAGGAGGUGAACACUGAAUCAGAGGCAGAGUUCCCUUGCCUGCCCACUUCUGUCUCUUAUAAGAUUUAUGUUAGAAUAAAUUCAUAUUAGUAUAAAUCUACUUCUUCCCUAUCCAAAAAAAAAGAAAUCAGAAAGCCAAAAUGGUGGCAACCAGCAGUGAGCUGACUGAAAGAGUAAUAGCAACACUUGCUCUUUUAAAUUGAUAUGUGCACAUAGUAUUGGACACCCAGGUCAUACAUGCUCACGUACUUUGAGUAAAGAGCACCUGGCAAAUUAUAGGACACUUCUUCUCACUUAG